GCAAUCGUCGGUGCCUACCUGGGCCAAGGAGAACCCCUAUGCUGGGGUACAACGACCCCUCAGGACAAAGUAUGGAAAGGAAACAGCUGUUGACGUGAUCGGGUUUGGGUAUUUUUUUGAUCACCUAUACGGAAGCCCAGAGUAAUGACCCUGUACUAGUUUUCUGUCCGUAGGCUUUAGUUACAAGGAUGGUUUAGAACGACGAUUUUUGAUAGAAAAUGUCUGCUGAGUAGAGUCCCUUUACCAAGAGUGUCGCGCUACGAGAAGCUCGUGUUAUCUUUGGAUAUGAAAAUUUAAACUCUAUGGAUAUUUACUUGGAAAAGAGUGUACUGUUGUGUUUUUUCUGCAUAGCUAAGUGUGAGAUUUCUAUUGGAACCAAAUAUAAAAAUCACCCGAUGUAAUAUGAACAAAUUCUGAUUAAAACGCCCACGCAAAACCCCUUCGGAUAUAGUGAUUUCAUUGAUCAAACAACAUUUAUAUUGAAAAUUUAUCAUUUGACCCGGCAUGAGAACUUUGGAAAACUGACCUUGUACUUUAUUUCCUAUGAUCCAAUUGAAGCUCUUGCCAUAUUAAGAAACAUAACAUACUCAAGCCAUGGUCUACGCACAUGAAAUUCUUUUAAAAUGAAGCACACGGUUCGAAAUGAAAUUCAGAAUUGCAGAUUGAAAAAGGGAGAGGGAGGAGGAGAUGAUUUCAGAUAUUCUGCUUAUCUCUUGAUUGACUUGACCAAAGCAAGGUAUUUGGCAUGAAUAGAGAUGGAAAUCAUCUUUGUGACACUUGAUUAAAUGUUAUGAGUCCUGAAGAAGGUCACUUGAAGACGAAUCUGGACUUGAUUUGGAAUAUACAACAGUUAAGAGUGUCCGAAUGUAUGCAAAAUUGUGAAAUGUGAAAAUUGAAAUUUUUAUCGAUAAGCUGAAAUUUGCAGAGAAAAUUACGAUGUUUCAUUGUAGUUGAGUUGCAUUUAUUGAGUUAUCAGCUUCUUCCCCUCCCCCCUUUUAAAAAAACAGAUUUUUUAAAAGAGUUUCAA